GAGUUUGAUCCUGGCUCAGAUUGAACGCUGGCGGCAUGCUUUACACAUGCAAGUCGAACGGCAGCGCGGGCUUCGGCCUGGCGGCGAGUGGCGAACGGGUGAGUAAUAUAUCGGAACGUACCCAGGGGUGGGGGAUAACGUAGCGAAAGUUACGCUAAUACCGCAUACGCUCUAUGGAGGAAAGCAGGGGAUCGCAAGACCUUGCGCGCUUGGAGCGGCCGAUAUCUGAUUAGCUAGUUGGUGGGGUAAAGGCUCACCAAGGCAACGAUCAGUAGCUGGUCUGAGAGGACGACCAGCCACACUGGGACUGGA
rnacentral:rRNA from 1 species